CUCUUAUGGUAUUGUUAUGGUUUCUGAUGGUCGCUAAUGGUUUCAAAUGGUAUACUUGGUGGUCUAAUGGUUUCCUAAUGGUUUUCAAUAGUUUUGAUUUUGGGCUCCAAACGGGUAUUCUUAUGGUCUCUGUUGGUGUUCUGAUGGCAUCUUUUCAUUUAUGAUGGUUUCAAAAUUGUGAUGGUCUAAUGGUGUUCUAAUGGUUUUUAAUGGUCCUAUAAUGGCUUUUUUAUUGAUCUUGAAUAUGUUGUUAAACACUAACUGUGCUUUAUUAUGCAAGGAGUGCUGCAUCGACAGCGGACUGAACGAUCGCUUUGAAACUUUCAGAGUUUCAGAGAAAAGUUAUGAAAGUACACAUUUUUCAUAAAGAUAGCUAUUUUAUAAUUUUUGCCGUCUGGAGACUUCAUUUAGUUCAGAGCUGAGGACACAUUCCAGAAAAAGGGUUAACCCGGCGGCUGCUGGGCCUCUGCGCCACCGCCCACCCGCCGGGCAAUGGGGGGAGGGGGGAGGAAGCAUAUAGUUGCCCUGUUUCUGCGGCAAUAUCAUUGUAACGCGAAGAGAUAGAAAAGCAAAGCCUUGAUAUACUCAGAAGUUUGCACACAUAUUCCUGAAUAGCUAGCCGAGGUUGUGUCCAAAUUUGGUAUGGAUAGUGAUACCAUUUGAAAUGACGUAUCAGUGACGUCAAAAGUCCAAUUUUAGGUGAAUUUUCUUACGAUAUAUCCGAUAUAUUAGACUGAAUAUAACGGACCAAAUGACAUCCUUUGAAUAUAGAGGAUAUCACACAAAACAUACGAGGCAACUUUAUGCCCCCCCCCCCUAUAGCGGCUUGUGGGUUUAAAGAGCCAAGAUUACUUUACUACCUACUCGAAAAGAGCUAUCGAAUGCGUUUUCCUGCGGCGUUGCAGGCUUUAUUGACUCCCGAGUUCUGCUCCGGUUUGGCAAAAUUUGUGGCAAAAAAGCCAUUGUAAAGAAAUUGUCAUUGUAAAGAAAUGGCAAAAUUUGAUCUUCUGAUGACCUCUGGUGACCUGACCUUUGACCUAUUAGUAUUUUAUGAUAUAACUAGCCUUUUAUAUCAUUGACCUAUUAUUGACCUAUUUGUAUUUUAGAAGCAUUUUCUGCAUUAUUUUUUACGGUUAUUCGAAUGCCGCAUACCGCGUUUUGCGGUAACUUAUGCGGUUUUCCUGCCUGGGAGAUCAUGAAACAUCAUUGUCAGUAACUCACCAAUAAAUCACCUGAUUCAGAGGAACCAGUGUGUUAAAGAACACAACUCGCCUAAAUCCGAGGAUGCUUAAGGAAUAAUAAAGAAUGAAUAGCAACAAUGGGCAAAUCUUCUCAGUUUUAUUUGCCGCUUGUGAAAUUUUUGUUUACAAUUCGCGUCCUUCUGUGCUGCUUUAUAUGAUAGGUUAUCGGUGAAACGGUGUUACCCGAGAAAGAUUCCGCUGUUUUUUACCGCCAUUUUAAUCAUGCAGUGUUUUGUAGUUAAAGUGUGUUUACUUUGUGUGCGUGAGAACGUUUGGAGAUGCCUCGCCGUGCGGGCCAAAAGGGCUCGGGAUGCGAACGCCGUUGCCCAGCGCCGUCGCCGUAAACGGCUAGCGCAGACGCGGCGCGAGACCGAAGCGUUGCGGAACGCUGAGCGUCGCCGUGAGCGUCGUAGAGAGACCCGAGAGACCCACCGCCAGCAGGAGAUGGAGAGGAAGCGCCACGAGAACCAAAAGGAGGGGAAGAGCAGACUGGUCAGUCACCUGCACACCUUGGAACCGGAUUCAAGGGUGUGAGAUGAAGCAAAGGCUCACCCCCCAAAAAAUUGUCAUCAGAACUGAGAAGUUAACUACAGACACAGAUGAUGAAGCGAGGGGCGGAAGACACAGGCGGAGCAUACACUGAAAAAAAUCCAGAUUCGUAAUGAAACAAAAUUCCUAGACCUUCAUUGGAAAAAAGACAAGGCUCCAAAUUGAAAUGUGAAAAUAUACACGGCUGAAAAAGAUCCGUGCCUGUACAUGCAUGGGACCGAACAUGGCAGAGAAAAAUGAAUGCUGGGGACUGUUAUGUCAUGUAUUACCAUGUGGAAUGCCAAUGUUAAUAGAUCGGAUUUUCACCA